UACGAAGGGGGCUAGCGUUGUUCGGAUUUACUGGGCGUAAAGCGCACGUAGGCGGAUCGUUAAGUCGGGGGUGAAAUCCUGGAGCUCAACUCCAGAACUGCCUUCGAUACUGGCGAUCUUGAGUCCGGAAGAGGUGAGUGGAACUCCUAGUGUAGAGGUGGAAUUCGUAGAUAUUAGGAAGAACACCAGUGGCGAAGGCGGCUCACUGGUCCGGUACUGACACUGAGGUGCGAAAGCGUGGGGAGCAAACAGG
rnacentral:rRNA from 1 species